UACGGAGGGAGCUAGCGUUAUUCGGAAUUACUAGGGCGUAAAGCGCACGUUAGGCGGCUUUGUAAGUAAGAAGGUGAAAGCCCAGACGCUCAACUCUGGAAUUGCCUUUUAGACUGCAUCGCUUGAAUCAUGGAGAGGUCAGUGGAAUUCCGAGUGUAGAGGUGAAAUUCGUAGAUAUUCGGAAGAACACCAGUGGCGAAGGCGGCUGACUGGACAUGUAUUGACGCUGAGGUGCGAAAGCGUGGGGAGCAAACAGG
rnacentral:rRNA from 1 species